rnacentral:misc_RNA from 1 species
UAGAUUUAAGAUAAGUGAACUCUGUUACUGUUUGCUUGUAAGAUCAUGAACAAUAGAGAUGAAUAUGCCUAUCUGGAAGUACAUGAAAGAUAUUUUUAUUGCCAGUGGCUUGAGUCUGUGAUAGAAAAUAUCUGUGAUACGAAAUAUAUUUCAUGAAAACAAACACCUGGAUAUGAAGUAAUGUAUAGUAAUUCGCAUUACUACAUAAUAAGAUAUUAACACCAGUACAAGCUAUUCAAGAUAAAAAUACGCCUUUUGAUGCUCGCUUUACAACACUACAUUCCAGUGUUGCCGUACCACGCCAAGGACGAAGAUUUUCGAAGACGAUACUCAUGCGAUGGUGGCGCUAUCUGUCGGUGACCGACCCAACUACUAAGUGCCAGUUAGUGAUUUGAUGCUAUUUUUUGGCGGCACGCAGCUAUAUGGGGAGUCGAGCUUCCUUACUCUACCUUCCUUGCAAGCGACACCUUGUCCCCCAGCAACAGGGAAAAGUGACCAUAUCAAACAUCCCUCCUUCCACCACACCCUGCCUCUACCAGACAUAGGAUCACCAGUAUGGCUUUCGCCAGGCGAGAUCUACUGGUGAUCUGCUCUCC